rnacentral:rRNA from 1 species
AUUGAACGCUGGCGGCAUGCCUUACAAAUGAAAGUCGAACGGCAGCACGGGAGCAAUCCUGGUGGCGAGUGGCGAACGGGUGAGUAAUAUAUCGGAACGUGCGCAGACGUGGGGGAUAACGUAGCGAAAGCUACGCUAAUACCGCAUACGAUCCAGGGAUGAAAGCGGGGGAUCGCAAGAUGUCGCGCGGUAGGGGCGGUCGAUAUCAGAUUAGCUAGUUGGUGGGGUAAAAGCCCACCAAGGCGACGAUCUGUAGCUGGUCUGAGAGGACGACCAGCCACACUGGAACUGAGACACGGUCCAGACUCCUACGGGAGGCAGCAGUGGGGAAUUUUGGACAAUGGGCGAAAGCCUGAUCCAGCAAUGCCGCGUGCAGGACGAAGGCCUUCGGGUUGUAAACUGCUUUUGUACGGAGCGAAACGGUCCUCUCUAAUACAGGGGGCUAAUGACGGUACCGUAAGAAUAAGCACCGGCUAACUACGUGCCAGCAGCCGCCGUAA